GGGGAUUUAGCUCAGUGGUUUGGCGGCCUGCCUUGCAAGCACAAGGACCUGAGUUCAAUUCCCAGUACCCCCC
rnacentral:tRNA from 1 species